GUAGUCUCGCACAGAUGCAUAUCAAUAAGCGGAGGAAAAGAAACUAACAAGGAUUCCCCUAGUAACGGCGAGUGAAGCGGGAAGAGCUCAAAUUUGAAAUCUUAAAGGGUUUCCCUUUACGAAUUGUAGUUUAAAGAAGUGUUUUCUGUUGAGGUUUUGGUAAAAGUUCUUUGGAAUAGGACAUCAUAGAGGGUGAGAAUCCCGUAUUUGACCUUUACUUUCAACUUUGUGAUACACUUUCAAAGAGUCGGAUUGUUUGGGAAUGCAGUCCAAAAUGGGUGGUAAAUUUCAUCUAAAGCUAAAUAUUGGCGAGAGACCGAUAGCGAACAAGUACCGUGAGGGAAAGAUGAAAAGAACUUUGAAAAGAGAGUUAAACAGUACGUGAAAUUGUCAAAAGGGAAGCGUUUGACACCAGUGUUGUUUUUCUGAAAAUCAAUUAAAGAACUGUUUAUGCUAAGUUGUUUAGACUUUAUCAGCUAACUGUUUAGUUUUGAGCUUUUCUUUAAUGCACUUUUCAGUUAACAAGUCAACAUCAAUUUCUUUUGCUGUAAAAAAGCUUGAGGAAGGUGGCUUGAGAUUCGUCUUAAGUGUUUAUAGCCUCUUGCCUAUGCAGUCGGAGAGAUUGAGGUCUGCAGCGUAGAUCCUUCGGGGCUAAAUGCAUUUGUGCUAAGUUAUAGCAUUUUAUAGACAACUUGUUGACUAUGAUUUGUCUUGUAGCUUACUCGCUUAUGUUAUUUUACCUACGCUUAGGAUGUUGAUGUGAUACUGCGAGC
rnacentral:rRNA from 1 species